rnacentral:rRNA from 1 species
CUCGGCCGAUCCUCCCACCCUUUGUGUACCUACCUCUGUUGCUUUGGCGGGCCGCGGUCCUCCGCGGCCGGCCCCCCUCCCCGGGGGGUGGCCAGCGCCCGCCAGAGGACCAUCAAACUCCAGUCAGUAAACGAUGCAGUCUGAAAAACAUUUAAUAAACUAAAACUUUCAACAACGGAUCUCUUGGUUCUGGCAUCGAUGAAGAACGCAGCGAAAUGCGAUAAGUAAUGUGAAUUGCAGAAUUCAGUGAAUCAUCGAAUCUUUGAACGCACAUUGCGCCCUUUGGUAUUCCGAAGGGCAUGCCUGUUCGAGCGUCAUUACAACCCUCAAGCUCUGCUUGGUAUUGGGCACCGUCCUUUGCGGGCGCGCCUCAAAGACCUCGGCGGUGGCGUCUUGCCUCAAGCGUAGUAGAACAUACAUCUCGCUUCGGAGCGCAGGGCGUCGCCCGCCGGACGAACCUUCUGAACUUUUCUCAAGGUUGACCUCGGAUCAGGUAGGGAUACCCGCUGAACUUAAGCAUAUCAAUAAGCGAGAGAGAA